AAUUGGAGUCAUUGCAGGAUCAGUGCUGUCAGCCCUUGGACCUGUGCCUGGAUGACUCAGCAGGCUGAGGAGUUGCACCUGGCCUUGAAUGUCUCCUGAAAAAAGUAGCCAGAAAAGGGAGACCCAGAAUGGAAGCAACUUGUCCAUAGUUCUUGCAUGCUGCAGUGCUUUGUUUGGUCUCCUGGACUGUGACUUUGCUUUUUGGGUUUGCCAUUUUCCUUUGACGUUUGGAUUUUUGACUAGCUGUGUUUUGACCCUGAACUGUUUUUGGACUAUACAUAUUGCCUCUUGCUGCAAGUGUCUGCUUCAACUAGGACAGUAUCCUCUGUUUUGUUCUCACAACAAAUUGCAAGCUGCAGCAGAACUGAAAUGAGGGCUCAGCACAGCACUUAAUAUAGAGCUACAUUCCCCUAAAAAUGCACAUCCACAGAAGAUCCUACUACAUGUCUACCCUGAAAUUUCCCAGCCAACAGCUGGGACAAAAAAUCCAGCUCUGCUGUUUCCAGAAUUUUUCCCACUAAGUCCAUUUUUGUGGGAAUUUCCUGCAAUUUCCAUUUCUGCGCCUAGAGAAUCCUGGCUGCUGUGCUGAAAUGUGCCAACAAAUGUCUCAUUUCUUUGGAGUAGUCCUCAGGAAAUAUAUUCAAUAAAAAUAGUUCUGGUUUGAA